AGCUUUGCGCAGUGACAGUAUCGUAGCCAAUGAAGUUUAUCCGAGGCGCGAUUAUUGCUAAUAGAAAGAAAUAAAGGUGUUUUUUUUUUUAAGUACUCUUUUUGUUGUCGUUGUUGGUAAUUUUGCUAUGGGGUGCACAUU